CAUUUAUUUAGGAUAAACUUAUUUUAGAAACAAUUUCUGCACAUCCAGUGAAAACUUCUUCACUCGAGCGAAAUCCAAAAAAAUCUAGAGCUACUCUAUUGAAACAUAAUGCACAUAAUAACCCACUCUCUAACGUAACUUUAUUAUCAUCAAUGAAAAAAACAGAACAGUUGCAGUGUCUUGACAUACCAAUAAAAGCAUUAUCUCCACUUCCAGUUAGAACUUCUCCUCU